CUGCAUGUGUCCUGACACCUGGAGCUGACUCACUGUAUUUUCUCCUGUGGUACCAGGUAACAGUUGUAGCAAAGAAACUCAUAGAGCAACUAUGGGGCUGCAUGGAGCAAGGAGCUGCUGACUGCUGAACUCCUUAGAAUAUGAACAGACAGCCUCGGGGAUUUGAGCUUUCAGAAGCCUUGCUGAUGAUGUCUUGACUGAAAAGACCUUGGUUGGCUUUUGGGCCCUGAGCUGGCUUGGAUACCCAUCAGUGGCAGGCUGUGAAAGAUUGCUCUCUCUGGUGGUUUACCCGUACGAUAGUACAUCCUGCUCCUGCUUCCAUAUUUGAGUACUCUCGAAGUAAUAAAAAGUAAAAUAUAGAUAAACA
rnacentral:lncRNA from 1 species